AGCAGCCGCGGUAAUUCCAGCUCCAAUAGCGUAUAUUAAAGUUGCUGCAGUUAAAAAGCUCGUAGUUGAAUUUCGGGACCAUCAUGUCGGUCGUGCCUCGGUACGUACUGGCAUUGUUGGUUUCUACCUUCUGACGAACCAUGAUGUCAUUUAUUUGGUGUCGUGGGAAAUCAGGACUGUUACUUUGAAAAAAUUAGAGUGUUUAAAGCAGGCUCACGCUUGAAUACAUUAGCAUGGAAUAAUGAAAUAGGACGUUUGAUUCUAUUUUGUUGGUUUCUAGGAUCGACGUAAUGAUUAAUAGGGAUAGUUGGGGGCAUUAGUAUUCAAUUGUCAGAGGUGAAAUUCUUGGAUUUAUUGAAGACUAACUACUGCGAAAGCAUUUGCCAAGGAUGUUUUCAUUAAUCAAGAACGAAAGUUAGGGGAUCGAAGACGAUCAGAUACCGUCGUAGUCUUAACCAUAAACUAUGCCGACUA
rnacentral:rRNA from 1 species